rnacentral:rRNA from 1 species
GCGUUGAAAAGCUCGGGGAUGACUUGUGGGUAGCGGUGAAAUUCCAAUCGAGCCCGGAGAUAGCUGGUUCUCCCCGAAAUAGCUUUAGGGCUAGCCUCAAGGUGAGAGAUACGGAGGUAGAGCACUGAAUGUCCUAGGGGGUAUUGCACCUACCGAAGACUAUCAAACUCCGAAUGCCGUCAUCUUAUACUUGGGAGUCAGACUGUGGGUGAUAAGAUUCAUAGUCGAAAGGGCAACAGCCCAGAUCGUCAGCUAAGGUCCCUAAAUGUAAGUUAAGUGGUAAAGGAUGUGGGAUUGCACAGACAACCAGGAUGUUGGCUUAGAAGCAGCCACUCAUUCAAAGAGUGCGUAAUAGCUCACUGGUCGAGUGAUCCUGCGCCGAAGAUUUCCGGGGCUAAAACUUACUACCGAAGCUACGGCAUCAGUAAUGAUGGGUAGGGGAGCUUCCCAUACGGGUUGAAGCAUGACCGUAAGGACAUGUGGACAGUAUGGGAGUGAGAAUGUUGGCAUGAGUAGCGAGAUGUGGGUGAGAAUCCCACAGGCCGUAAACCCAAGGUUUCCAGGGGAAGGUUCGUCCGCCCUGGGUUAGUCGGGACCUAAGCUGAGGCCGAAAGGCGUAGGUGAUGGACAACAGGUUGAUAUUCCUGUACUACCGAUAACCGUUUGAGAGAAGGGAUGACACAGUAGGAUAAGCUAAGCACACUGUUGGUUAUGUGUGCCCAAGCAUUGAGGCAGUCAAAGUAGGUAAAUCCGCUUUGAUAAUGCUGGGGUGUGAUGGGGAGCGAAAUUUAGUAGCGAAGUAGCUGAUUUCACACUGUCAAGAAAAGUCGCUAUCGAGGUUAAAGGUACCCGUACCGCAAACCGACACAGGUGGGUGAGGAGAGUAUCCUAAGGCCAGCGAGAGAACUGUUGUUAAGGAACUCGGCAAAAUGACCCCGUAACUGAGGGAUAAGGGGUGCCACCAUCAGGUGGCCGCAGAGAAUAGGCCCAAGCGACUGUUUACCAAAAACAUAGGUUUCUGCUAAGUCGCAAGACGAUGUAUAGGAGCUGACGCCUGCCCGGUGCUGGAAGGUUAAGGGGAUCUGUUAGAGCAAUCGAAGCAGUGAACUUAAGCCCCAGUAAACGGCGGCCGUAACUAUAACGGUCCUAAGGUAGCGAAAUUCCUUGUCGGGUAAGUUCCGACCCGCACGAAAGGCGUAACGAUUUGGGCACUGUCUCAACAACAGACUCGGUGAAAUUGUAAUUCCGGUGAAGAUGCCGGAUACCUG